GAUGAAGAACGCAGCGAAAUGCGAUAAGUAAUGUGAAUUGCAGAAUUCAGUGAAUCAUCGAAUCUUUGAACGCACAUUGCGCCCCUUGGUAUUCCGAGGGGCAUGCCUGUUCGAGCGUCAUUAUAACCCCUCAAGCUCAGCUUGGUGUUGGGGCCUGCUGAACUGGCAGCCCUUAAAAUCAGUGGCGGCGCCAUCUGGCUCUAAGCGUAGUAAUUCUUCUCGCUAUGGAGUCCUGGUGGAUGCUUGCCAUCAACCCCCAAUUUUUCUAUGGUUGACCUCGGAUCAGGUAGGGAUACCCGCUGAACUUAAGCAUAUCAAUAAGCGGAGGA
rnacentral:misc_RNA from 1 species